GAUGAACGCUGGCGGCGUGCCUAACACAUGCAAGUCGAGCGAUGAAGUUUUCUUCGGAAAAUGGAUUAGCGGCGGACGGGUGAGUAACACGUGGGUAACCUGCCUCAUAGUGGGGAAUAGCCUUUCGAAAGGAAGAUUAAUACCGCAUAACAUUACGAAGUGGCAUCACUUUGUAAUCAAAGGAGCAAUUCGCUAUGAGAUGGACCCGCGUCGCAUUAGUUAGUUGGUGGGGUAAUGGCCUACCAAGACGACGAUGCGUAGCCGACCUGAGAGGGUGAUCGGCCACAUUGGGACUGAGACACGGCCCAGACUCCUACGGGAGGCAGCAGUGGGGAAUAUUGCACAAUGGAGGAAACUCUGAUGCAGCAACGCCGCGUGAGUGAUGAAGGUCUUCGGAUCGUAAAGCUCUGUCUUUAGGGAUGAUAAUGACAGUACCUAAGGAGGAAGCCACGGCUAACUACGUGCCAGCCGCCGCCGUAACAC
rnacentral:rRNA from 1 species